AAAUAAUUAAACAACAGAAAAAAACAAAAAAAAGAAAGAAAUGUGGAUGGCCUUAGGACCUCACACUUGUGUAUAAGUUGACCCAACUUUCAAAUGUUAGAAUAAUAUAAUAUUCAUUAAAAUAAGUUGAUAAUUUUUUUAUGGUUUUAUAGAGUGACCAAAUCCUAUUCACUACGGGAGUAAAUAAUGGUUCUGCAAAUGAAAUUGGUAUUUUUGAGAUUAGUACCUAUUGAUAAUACAUCUUUAUCAUAUUUAGCAGAAAAUAUCAAAUAGAAAAGCUGUUGACAGUGCUGUAUUUGCAGAAAUUGAGCAAUGUUUCCAUAAUGCUUUAAAAGCACAUACUGAUGAAAUAAUACUGAUGCAAUUUCCCAGAGUCUGUAAGGCCUAAUGAAAAUUGCAGAGGCAGGAAAGAACAAAAGUUUUAUUCAUAAAAUAGAUCUAGAUGUACUCAAAGAAUAAAUCAAAAAAUAUCCAGAUGCACACUAGGCAAUGCUGUAAGUCUGGCACUUUAACAAAAUGUCAGACUUACAGCAUUGAAAACAUUGUGAUACAACACACAGGAAAUUGGAUGAAGAAAGCCAAAUGGAUGCAAUGUAGUCAUGUCAUGUCCAAUCACAUUUCUCUACAAUAUAAUUUUAUUGAAACGUUUAUUCAGCAGAAAAUAUCAACUAAAUAUUAAAAUUUUAUAUCAAUCCAGAAUCUCAACAAAAGUAUUUAACAAAGUUUAAACAAUAAAAAAAUCAAAAUCAAAACACACCACAG
rnacentral:lncRNA from 1 species